UGGUUUCUUUAGGGCAGCUGGGCUGGCCGACCCAAAGGGGAUGUGCUGCUGGAGGGGGGUUUUGUCAAGGAUAGCCUGGUGGGGACAACGUCUAGGCCAUGUGCAGAGGAUCUCACGUGUGAGCUCUUUGAGGAAUGUCAACCACAGGAGAGAACAGUCUUUCCUUGGGGAGAGAUGGACCUGGACCACGCAGAGUUAAAUGUCUGACCUGAAUAACUGUGAAUGUCAAGUCUACUCCACGUUCACCUCCAGUCAAAAGUUUAAUGCAAGCACUCUACAAUAAUCAAUAUUAAAUAAAAAGAACUUCAAGCAAAAAAAAAUCACACCUCAGUAAAUCAGCCAAGGAGAAGGUUGUACUGCUCACCCUUGAGCAGCACCCAAAGUGUUGGGUGCCUGCAAGUGCUCAGAGGGCCAUAGAGAUGACAUUGCCAAAAAUUAUGAGGCUUGAUCCAAAAAUCUGAUAUGCAGAGAAGUGAUUCAGUACGGAUUGAUGUGGAUUUGGCUGUUCCACCCAGCCUUACUCUGCCUUUCUGCCUGUGCCUGAAGAGGAGUCUGGACACUGGCUGCUACAGGGACUCUGAAGUGGAGAAUUAUAAAUGAAGCUUGAAGAAUGGACAAAUGUCUUCUAAGUGAAUCUGCUCACUGACAAGGAGGGAAUUCACUCAUGGAUAACCCAAAUAAUCCGUAGAUUUCAUUGACAGUAAUCCCAGAACUCCAGAAGCUCUUCUUGUAAUAAGAAGAUUCUACAACAUCCUUUAUACAAAUAAAUUAUAAAUGGAACAGCUAUAAAGAAAUGUGUUAACAAUACAUUUAACACAAAAUAAUCACAAGUCUGUGUAAAUAAAGCAUGAAAAAGGAA